AGGCCUUAGAUGCAAAAUUAAUUAUCUUUAAGAAAAAGAGAAGAAAGAAUUAUUGAUGAAUAAAAUGUCAUAGACAGAGGUGAGUUUACUCACCAUGUUAAAUCCGUGUCAAUGUCUAAUUUUACUUCACAAGAAGUUGAAGCCCUUAAAGAAGGCAGUAAUCAGCGUGCAAUGGAAACAUUUAUAAGAGAUUGGGACCCACGAGAACAUAGACUUCUACAUAACAGCAAUGUGGAGAAAGUUUGAGAUUUUAUAAAGAGUGUCUACGUGGAUAAGAAGUUUUUCACUUCAAAGGCGUCCGGAAAACCUCCUAGAGAUGCAAUGGAUGGUUCGGUUCUAUAUUGGAUGUGAUGGAAGUUGUUUUGAAGGCAUUUGCACCAAGGAGGUACUAUGAAAUCGACCUCCAUUAACGGCGUGAAGAUGUAUACAGUUGCAGGAUAACAUCGCUCGCUGGCCACUUGGCUACCGCCGAAGAAGCUUAGAGCUCUUCGCAAAGACAAAAAUUACACGGAAAGGGUGGAUUUGAUCCAAGAUUUAAGAUUUGUCAACGUUCUAAAGCCAUUGGUACAUAAUUGCACGCCAAUUACUCGACAAAAUGUCUCAAUGAAGUGCUGCCAUAAAAAUUGAAGUCAUAACGAUGUCCAGCAGAGUUCCAGCAAUAAGCAACUAACACACUUCUACUACAAAUUGCACCACCAAUAUAAUGGACUCGAUUUACUAAGGGAAAGAUUUUGGCAAAUCGAAGGAUAUGAUCUUCAAAAGGACUCGGGAAACUAACUAAUUUUAAGAACACUAAUCAUGGAUUCUUCUGAAGAUCGUUGCGACCAAGGUGAUUUCGAAUUUGCGUUUAACAAUAACAAC